rnacentral:rRNA from 1 species
GACGAACCGUGCGAACGUUGUUCGGAAUCACUGGGCUUAAAGGGCGCGUAGGCGGCCCGCUAAGUCGAACGUGAAAUCCCCGAGCUCAACUCGGGAACUGCGUCCGAUACUGGUGGGCUUGAAUCCGGGAGAGGGAUGCGGAAUUCCAGGUGUAGCGGUGAAAUGCGUAGAUAUCUGGAGGAACACCGGUGGCGAAGGCGGCAUCCUGGACCGGCAUUGACGCUGAUGCGCGAAAGCCAGGGGAGCAAACGGG